UGCGCGGUUGUAGCAAUACAACUGGCGCACGGCGCACGGGUGCGUAACACGUGGGUAAUCUGCCCUCUGAUGGGGAAUAACCCGCCGAAAGGCGGGCUAAUUCCGCAUAAUAUUCCGAGAACUUCGGUUUUUGGACUGAAAGGCGUAAGUCGUCGGAGGAGGAGCCCGCGCCCGAUUAGCUAGUUGGUAGGGUAAUGGCCUACCAAGGCUUUGAUCGGUAGCUGGUCUGAGAGGAUGGCCAGCCACACUGGAACUGAGACACGGUCCAGACUCCUACGGGAGGCAGCAGUGGGGAAUCUUGCACAAUGGGCGAAAGCCUGAUGCAGCGACGCCGCGUGGGGGAUGAAGCUUCUCGGAGUGUAAACCCCUUUCGAUCCGGACGAAUACCUCGCAAGAGGGGUGACGGUACGGAUAUAAGAAGCCCCGGCUAACUACGUGCCAGCAGCCGCGGUAAGACGUAGGGGGCCAGCGUUGUUCGGAAUUACUGGGUGUAAAGGGUUCGUAGGCGGUGUGGCAAGUCGGGAGUGAAAUCUCUGGGCUCAACCCAGAGGCUGCUUCCGAAACUGCUGUGCUUGAGUGUGGGAGAGGCGCGUGGAAUUGCAGGUGUAGCGGUGAAAUGCGUAGAUAUCUGCAGGAACACCCGUGGCGAAAGCGGCGCGCUGGACCACUACUGACGCUGAAGAACGAAAGCUAGGGGAGCAAACAGGAUUAGAUACCCUGGUAGUCCUAGCCCUAAACGAUCAGAACUUGGGGUGCCACCCGUUCGGGUGGCGUCCCGGAGCUAACGCGUUAAGUCCUGCACCUGGGGAGUACGGUCGCAAGACUGAAACUC
rnacentral:rRNA from 1 species